CCCUGUCUCGCGAUUCCUCCCUCUCUGCCCUCUUAGCCGCGACCGUUUUUAUAUUCUCCGUCUCUCCCUCGGUCCGCCUCGAGAUCCCGAUUGUUUUUUAAAGCGACCGAAUCGUCGAGGUUGGCAGAGACCUUUACGAUUAUCGGGUGGAACCGCGAACCUGGCGCUGGCAAGUCCCCCUCUGCCCCGCAGCCCGUCCCUUCCCUUCCGACGGCCUCUUUCUCCACCUCCCUCUGUCCGGCUCCCGGCCCCUCUUUUCCACUUCCGCCCUCUGUACCCUGUGGCUUUCCCCCUCUUCUUUCUCUCUCUGUCUCUGUUUGAGGAGGAGCAGCUGCCGCCCCAGCGUUCGCACCCCGUUCACGGUGUCGCGCGCACGCUUCUUCUCGGGCGCGCUUCCUCCUCCUCCUCCUCCUCCUUCGGGCUCGACCCGAGGCUUCCGGCAGCAGUCUCCGGGUGUCGGAUUUUGUAAAAUAAUUAACGUAACUGAAAGGUGCAGCAGCGGGAUCGGCCCGGGCGGGGCGCCUCCAAAGAGAGGGACCCCGAACAAAGAAAUCCCGGGGCCGUUCCACGCUUGGGUCCCGGACACCCGCCCCUCGCGCGCUGUCCGCGCGUCCCUUAGUCCCGCGGUGACUUUUGGUCUGGGGUCUUCUACCGUCGUCUCGGAUUCUUCUUCUGUAUAGCUGUGGGCGGUGCGUUAUUCCACAGGUGCCGCCGCGCCGAUGCUCCGUACGUUCGCAGUAACGGGUAGAGCGGAAGGCUCCGUGGCCAGGGAAGAGCGGCACGGACACGUUCCUGCUCGCUCCGUUGCACCGGAAUUUCAACGGCUGGGUUCGGCCGCUAAAUUGAUGGCGCUACCGGAAGAAAUUUCAGAAAAAAAGGGUGGCUUUUUCGUCGAUCUCUUUGUGAGAGUAUCAAAUCAGGCGGCGGUAAAUACGUAGAAGCAACUAGGCGUACUACGGCGUGUACCGGACAGCGUUGGCGUGCCGCUCUGCUAGCAGCGGAGAGCCAGAUGAGGAUGCCCGUGAUAUGAGAAAAGCUCUGUCCAGAGAUAUGGAGACGAAAUCAGUUGUACCUCACCCUGUGACACCGGAAG